GUAAACUCACGUGUAAUAAAUGACUCAUUUAUCCUUUUUCUCAACUGAGGUCCCUUUCCUUCAUUUUCUUCUGUAAAUACAACAUUCAGCUAUUCAGACAUUCGGAAGUAUCCGAAUGACCGAAUUGCCCAAAAUUUGUCCGAAUUGACAUUUGGAACGAAAAUAAUUGCACAUGUCUACUGCUCAUGCAGGAUGUUUAUUGGGUCCUUCAGGUACAGAGAGGCUGAAC